rnacentral:rRNA from 1 species
GCAGUCGAUUCGAUUUACCUUCGGGUAUUGAGGAUGGCGGACGGGUGAGUAACGCGUAAGGAACUUGCCUCUUGGUCUGGGACAACUGUUGGAAACGACAGCUAAUACCGGAUAUUAUGAGAUUCUCGCAUGGGAAACUUAUGAAAGCUAUAUGCGCCAAGAGAGAGCCUUGCGUUCCAUUAGCUAGUUGGUGGGGUAACGGCCCACCAAGGCGACGAUGGAUAGCCGGCCUGAGAGGGUGAACGGCCACAAGGGGACUGAGACACGGCCCUUACUCCUACGGGAGGCAUCAUUGGGGAAUAUUGGACAAUGGGCCACAAGCCUGAUCCAGCAAUUCUGUGUGCACGAUGAAGGUCUUCGGAUUGUAAAGUGCUUUCAGUUGGGAAGAAGAAAGUGACGGUACCAACAGAAGAAGCGACGGCUAAAUACGUGCCAGCAGCCGCGGUAAUACGUAUGUCGCAAGCGUUAUCCGGAUUUAUUGGGCGUAAAGCGCGUCUAGGCGGAAAAAUAAGUCUGAUGUUAAAAUGCGGGGCUCAACUCCGUAUUGCGUUGGAAACUGUUUUUCUAGAGUACUGGAGAGGUGGGCGGAACUACAAGUGUAGAGGUGAAAUUCGUAGAUAUUUGUAGGAAUGCCGAUGGAGAAGUCAGCUCACUGGACAGAUACUGACGCUAAAGCGCGAAAGCGUGGGGAGCAAACAGGAUUAGAUACCCUGGUAGUCCACGCUGUAAACGAUGAUCACU